GGGAGGGAGGGAGGGAGGAAGGAAAUGAUUCUCCCACAUAUUUCACAUCCUAGUGGAGGGCGAUAAAGACUUCUAAAUCUCACUUGUUUGUUCACACUGUCCCUGUCUCUGGACCAUCGUUUGGCCCCUUCAACAAUCAGAGGAAACAGAAAAGACCCAGUUUAGUAUAUUCUACUGGAAACAAAGUGGUCACUCAACAUUUUGCUUCUAAAACGUUUUCUCAAUGAGCUUUCCCAAGGAGAAACAUAUAGAGUGUACUUUUGACAAUAUUUAAACAUCUACUCCGCAUUGGGCACUGCGGUAUUUAGCUAGGAAAAUGAUAAUAUUCAAAAUAACUGGCAAAUGGACUUUUUAAAAAGAGAGAGUGACAGCUCAUAGUGAAAGGUUCCUUGCAGACUACCUGCCUAAUCCGAUCCACCCAUACAACAGAAAUAAGUUGUCCUGUAUAAAUCUGCCCAGGUAGAAUGUGGCAAAAGUAAGACCAAAGAAGGUUCUUAUCUAAUGCCUUCCUCCCCUGGCCUGGUCCCUUAUGGGUCCUUCAAAGGACAGAUCACAAAUUAUUUUCAUUUAAGAGACUAUACACAGACCAGUUGUGGCAGCACACGCCCAUCAUCCCAGCACUUGGGAGGGAGAAGACCAAGCGUUUAGGCCAUCCUUGACUACAGUGAAAGUUAGUGACCAAUCUGGUCUACAUCCCUGUCUCAAAAUUAAUUAAUUAAUUAAUUAAAAAUUUUAAAAAACUAUACACACAUCUGUACAUCUUAAACUAACAAUACACAGGCGAACAGAGACUUGACGACACAGCUUCAGAGAGAACAGCAAUGACAAAAUGAAACAAACUUAAAGGAGACAGAACAAACAGAGCUGGAGCCCUGGACGCGAGCAUGGGAGUCAGCAGAUGACAUCCAUUUGCGCUCGUUAGCACAGCCUGGCAUGUGCUACACCAGCCCCUCGGGUAAUUUACAUUUUUUUUAAAGCAUGUACUUCUAAAUUUAGGGAGUCGGGAUAAUCAGGGUGGAAAAGCCCAUCUGCUUGGCGUUCUCUCCAGCUGCUGCAGAUCCUGAAGUGAGGCAGGAGUCUCUCCUCUGUAUCAUCUCAGCCAGUCUGGACCGAGAGGACAUGACAGGGGCUCCAAUCCGGAUUACACUGGGUACUCGACAAGGCACCCCACUGUGCUUAAAUGAGCCUGCUGCAAGUGCUGAGGUGCGGUUCUGCAUGGCCACGUGUUUCUCUUAAAGUCAUUGUGAGGUACAGCUACAGACACAGAAAGACCCAGGUACAUGCUUGUGUCUCUGAGAGGGCAAAAUAAUAAAGGGCCUGGAAACAUCCCUCAGCUGCAUUUUUUUUCCCCUUGAAGAAAGCAUUUACCCAUAUUCUGGUCCAAACUUUUCCUCCUACAUGCUGUGCUGUUUUGAAAAAGGCCACUUUACUUCCCCAGGUUUUUCAUUACAUGACACGAAAGAGCAAAAGUCGGAGGCAAGAGACAAGGGUUGGGCAGAAAAGAGAAACACAAACGCUAAACAAUGUAUCUUUUGGCAUUUACAACCCUGGUACUCCAGAGACCCGGGCCAACUCCCCACGAAGCAGCUACCUCACCUACACACACUCUUCCCGGUCUGCUGGGAAACUGUCGACAUUAAAAUCAGAGGCAAACCUGUAAAUACCUACUCAUACACCUUUUAAAAAGUCUCUUGAAAAAGUGUCAGUCACACAUUUAAAGUUUAGGUAUUUUUGGUAAAUACCGGAAAUUGAAAUGUUUCUGAAGGGGCUACAACCUGAGGGCGGCUCCACUUUAUCAAAAGCCCCCUCCCCAGGGCUGUGUGUAAAAGCACUACCUGGGAAGCAUACGUUUUCUGGGUCCACAGAUCUUGCCUGCACAGACAGUCGCCCUAUGCCAGACACUGUGGAGCAAGUGACACUGAGCGACAGCAAAACCUUCACAAGUAGGUUCUUUCCUGUUAGUGCUCUGAGCAAUUAGGGAGGCAUUUAACUAGAGACAACAACAGCCACUUGGAUAAAAUCCAGUUUAUUUAACAUCACUAGCAAGGGUGUCUGACAUGGACCCUGGGGCCAUCAUGACCAUGUCACUCUACCAGGGAAUACAAAAUGUCCCUGGAAGACACGAACAAGCACCCACAGAGGUAAAAGGUGGUUUAAAAAUAUGGUUACUUUAAAGGCAUUUACAUACAUAACUUUUUCUGCCAUACUAUUUUAAUCUAUUUAUAUUUGUAGUGAAUGCGCGUUUAAAGACGUGAUCUGAAAUGGAUGUAGUGUUAUCUUGUUCUUUUAGUGCCUUACAUGGUCUUUUCUCUUCUCCUUUUUGUGUUGUCUAUUUGCUUCCAGUAUGUGUCUCUAAUACCUAAAACAAAGUCAAGCAUAAAACAGGCACUAAGGAAAAAUUUAAUGAGUAAGUAAGGAGUCUUAUGAAAGAGGAGCAGUGGCUGGAGAGAGAAUUCCGUGGUACAAAGGACAUGCUGCUCCUACAGAGGACCUGUGUUCAGGUCCCACAACCCACUUAGGGUGGCUCACAACCACUAACUUCAGCUCCUGAGAUUUAACGACCUCUUCUGCCUUCCACAAGCACUUGUCUCCACAUGCACAUACUCCAACACGUACACACGGCAGUACAUAGAAUUAAACUUUUUAAAUGGUUCUUAAAAGAAAAGGGGUCUUUCCAACACUGGUUCUGUGGAGACAGUGAGAGACUCACUGUGUACCAGGAGUUGCACAGGUCCAUUUCUUCAUCUAACCAAGUCACUUGGCAGACAGGGCUUCUCUGUCCCACUUUUCAUAACAGAAAGACCCAAGAGUUAAACACUGCCCUGACCACAGAAGACAAGACAAUGUGCAACCAUCUGGUCUACCUCAGAGGGAUAAGGUACAGGCUCAAAGCUUCCCCAAAAGAGGGGAGAGGGGCAAAACCAAUCAAGAGGCCAAACAAGGCAGGGAGCUGAACCAGGAAGCUGGCGGCAGAGUCAAAAGCAACCCGGGGAAAGAAGAGGCACAUACAGAGGUGGGACUGGCUUGACCGGGUCCAGACAAGAGGUGCCAAAUCCAAAGAAGGAAGGGCAACAUGUGAACCUCGGAGAGAGAACAGUAGGGCCCCAGAGCUCAGAAGUUCAGCAUCCAAGCCUGUGAGUGCAGGGGUUGAGAGGUCCUCAAAGUGAGAACCAACUAGAAAGAUGUCCACACAACCAAAACAUGGCCCAGAAACUACUAACAACGAUGGUGGGCAUUUCCCACAAUUUAUCAGCCAGUCCAUCAUUCUGGAUUCUUUAUAAAAUUGUCCUUGCAAGUCUAAAGGGGAAAGCCGAUUUUCAACAGAAAGAAGGGAACGCUAUGAAGGAGAAUUAUUGAAUAAGCAGAAAAAUGUUUAGAAUGCUGACAGCAAAUAGUUCAAUGUGUACAGACUGCAUGCAUAAUGGAGCUUCAACUGAGUUGCCAUAGCUACCAAAAGAUAAUUAAUUUUGAGGAAACAAAAGAGGAGACAUUAGGGGUAGUUUUAAAGAGCUGAAGGAUAAACAUCCCAUCAGAAUGUAACUAAAAGUUCUUCCCAGUAAGGAACGAGCAACAGUCCUUCCCAUAUGACCAUGUCUGACACAAGCUCCCACUCUCUUCUGCCUACUCCAGUGUACUCAGCUUCCUCUGAACUGACAGAAGUCCCACUCAGACCCUGAAAGACUCUACUAGCUCCCACAUGCUCAGGAUCUAAGCCCAUCUGAAUUAUCCAUACAAUUAUCUAAGUUAUCUAUGUAAUUAUACACUGUACAAUUAUCACUUAACUAUCUGUGAAAUGAGCAUUUAUUAAAGAUUGGCUAAGAAGGGGGGUUGCACAAAUAUUUAAGCAUAUAAGUAACAGCAAACUGGCAAGGGCUAAGGUACUGACAUUAAUAUAUAGACAGAAAGUCCGGGGAGACUGCUUUAGGAGUGACAUGGCGUCCCACUGGGGCACUGAAACAUCAGCAUUGCCUUUAAGUCCAAGGAAUAAAGAGGAGGAAGGGGAGGAGGAGGAGGAAGAAGAAGGAGAGGGGGAUGGGAGGGGAGAAAGAAGAAGGAAAGAAGAGGAAGGAGGAGAAGAAGAGGAGGAAAAAGAAGGGGAUACACUGAAAACUAAUUAAAUAAUGCAUAUGGAAGGCCUAGAAUCUAUUAUGCACUCACAAAUCACUCCCCCUUCUGUAAAGUUAUAAACUCAGAGAGGACAGAGUUUACGCUUCUUUCCUGUUAUUGACCCCAAAACACAUAUAGUAAUUUUUAACAAUGCCUCUUUGAAUUUGACAACAAGGGUCUUCUAGCAUUCCUAUUUGAUAACAAUUUCUGAAAAGGAAGCCCCUUGUCACUGAAGCUGAAUUUCACAAUCAGCAAAUCCAAGCCAUUUCACAAGGAUCCGCGAUGUGGGGAUAAGGGUGAGGGAAAGCGUAGACUCUUGAAGGUAGCAUGCACAGCUAUGUGGGACUGAAGAGAGAACACUGGACUGGAUAGAUGCGACAUCUGUCCAUUAAAAAGCCUACGGCCUAUGACUUAAGCAGGAAAUAGAGGUAGGACAUCCGGGAGAAGAAUUCUGGGAGAGAGAAGGCAGGAGGGUCACCAAAGAGAGGUGACCAAACAGACACACAGUACCUGAGCACAGGUAACCGGCCUCGUGGCAGAAUGAAGGUUAAAAUAAUUGGGUCAUUUUAGUUAUGACCUAGUCAGAAUAGAGCUACAUGCCCAAAGUGUUUGUAAAUAUAUUUUCAGUCUGAGUCUUAGUCUGGGAGCAUGGGGCUAGGAGGAAGAACCAGAUGUAGUUACAACAUAGGACUCACUCUUACUGGAUACUUUAGUGUUUCGAGUUUCCCCGUGCUUGAAAUGUAAUGCUUUCUUUUUUCUUAAGAUUCUUAAAGCCUUUAUAGGGCCAGUCACAACUCUUAGAAAUAUUUCCCACAUUCUUCAACAGCCAGGCCCUAGAAUAGACACAACACUGCCACAAAGGGCAGAACUAAAGAGGCAAAAUCUAAUCACUUCCUGACACCGGAGCCUGGCCCUUCCCGGGUUAUCUUACGUACUCUCUCGGGCACUUAACUCCAGGUACUGAAAUUCACCCUGCUCCAUAAGCACACCAGCCCCUUCUCCACUGGGAGCUAGGUGAUGGGAUGUCUCAUGGGAUGGUCUUCAGAACUAAUGAAUAAACACAUAUAAAAGUGUGUGGUGGUGCACAGCACAGAGGAGGUACCCAGUAUCUGACCUCCAGACUAGAAACUUCAACACUGAAAACAGAGGAAGUGUGUGACUCUGAGAAGUGGCAGUGACAGCAGAACUGGGACCUCUCUGACCUGGCACUGGACUGGGGAUACCAUGGUUGGCCGCCCUUAGGCACAUGUGGUGCCCAGAGCCCAUUCAGCUUCCUUGUGCCAAGCUGUUUACCCACAUUCAGUUGAUGGUGGGCACCUUGGUCUCAGAGAAAGCCUGCCAAAUCCAAGUAUUAAAAGACAACGCUCCAAGUGAUCAAGAAAAUAAAGAGGCUUUUCUUGAAAGAAAAAAAAUCAUCUACUGAGAUCUGGUAAAGCAGUGUAGCCCAGUCUGAUGCACAAUUGCUACCUGCUUGUUGCCAUCUUGGAAUAUCGGCUUACGCUAAAAACUAGGACAGAGCUCAAGACUUGGUGCCUCUGGCUAGAUGAAGAUCAUGGGACUGGCUGUGUAUCUAAAUAAACUAUCAAGAGGAGAGUAAUACAUCAGUGUUUCAUUCCUUUGCUAACAGAAACACAUAAUGGAAAGCAAAGGCUUUUUCUCUCAAACAGGCCUGAUCUUCCUGCUAUUUCUAAUGCUGGCCCGUAUUAGUCAGGGAUCUCUAGCGUAUGGAGAAUACUAAAACAGAUGGUUAUAUGAUGCAGAAAUAUAGAUAUAGAUGAUAUAGGUAUAUAAAUAUACAUAUACAUAAUUAUAUAUUAUAUAUAUGAUUUAUUAUAGUGACUCACAACCUGUGGUCCAGCUAAUACAAUAAUGGCUGUCCAUGAAUUGAAAGUCCAGGAAUCCAGUAGUUGUUCAGUCCGUGAGACUGAGCUGGUCUUCGGUAUAAACCAGAAUCACAAAGAAGUAGGCUUUUUUUUUUUUUUUUUUUUGGUUCUUUUUUUCGGAGCUGGGGACCGAACCCAGGGCCUUGCGCUUCCUAGGUAAGCGCUCCACCACUGAGCUAAAUCCCCAGCGCCAAGAAGUAGGCUUUAAUGCCUGUGAAGGAAUGGACUUGCUAGCAAGGCAAGGGCACGAGAAAACAAAGAGCAAAAGCUUCCUUCUUCCAUGCUCUCAUAUAGGCUCACAUAGGGGUGCUGGUUCAUUCCAGAUAUAGUCAAGUUGACAACCAAGCUAUCACACACCUAUAACAGUCUACUCUCAACCUGCGUGAGCAGUCAGAAUGUGGAGGUUAACUAAGGUCCAUCCAAUCUGAUCUCCGGCUAACCCAACGUGAACAGCCUCUGUGAGCGAAGGUGUCAGAAAAAUCCUCAGUCUUUAGGAUUUCUUCCUCCUGCCCUGUUUUACUCAAGAAAAAAAAAUAUUUUAACGAGUGAAGGGAGGAGAUACUCAAAGCUGCUCCAGGCCAGGGCAGGAAAGGGUCAGGUCUCCCAUCCAUGUGAAGUUUCUGGUUCACCAUUUGCCUCUGCUACAGGAUCCUGAUGAGUCGCUCAUUCAGAGAGAGAUGAUAAGUGCAACUUGUCCUAUGUGGGGCUCUUUGUGCCACUGCUGCUGUUGCUGUUACCUAACUGAGAGUGUGAAGGGCACAUGUGGGUUCCAAGCCUUGUUCUAUGGUCCUGGGCCUUCAUCUAUGACAGUUACACUAAAUCUUCAAAGCCCUCAAAGCCGAAUGCUGAAAUUCCCAAGGUGGUGGUAUACAGAAGUAGACCGUGCUCUUCAGACAUGAUUAGAUCAUUACUGGACACAUCAUGGCAAGACAAGUCUCUCCCAUCACCUAGGGACACCAAAAGAUGGUUGUCUCUGAAUAUAAGCAGCAGGAAGCAUGGGUUCUUCCAACACAAAGAUCCCA
rnacentral:sRNA from 1 species